rnacentral:other from 1 species
GCGGGGCUGCCUGGUGCGUCAGGAGCCAUAAUUCCCGGGGCCUUAUCGAUCCUUAAGGGAACUGUCCCUGUCCGGGCUCCUGGGCUCGGGCACACGGUGCCCACCUACUUUCGUAGGGAACCUGGGAUCGAAGCUCCAACGGCCAGGCGGCUCCGCA